rnacentral:sRNA from 1 species
ACGAACGUGAACGGUAGGCGUCUCGACGCGU